rnacentral:rRNA from 1 species
UAGGUAAUCUUCCCUUGAGCGGGGGACAACGGUCCGAAAGGACCGCUAAUACCGCAUAAGUUCCCAAGGUCCUCGGAUCUUGGGAGGAAAGCUAGGUAGCAAUAUCCGGCACUCGAGGAGGAGCCUGCGUAGCAUCAGCUAGUUGGUGGGGUAGUGGCCUACCAAGGCGACGAUCCUUAGCUGGUCUGAGAGGAUGAUCAGCCACACUGGGACUGAGACACGGCCCAGAU